ACACAGUUUUGAUAAUUUGUGGGCUUUCUGUUUGUAUUAAUAGGCCUUUGUGUACACUAUGAAAAGAACAUAUUAAAAAAUUACUGGUUUAUAGUUGUCCAAAUGCAAUUGUUCAACAUGUUUUUGAUAAUUAUUGACCUUCAGAGUCUAGAGAAUUGUACUUCAGUGGUUUUUAUUGAUUUUUCAGCUUAAAGACUUGGAUUAGUUUGCCAAAAGUAACUUUUUAAAAUAAUCUUGAAUAUUUAAUUAACAGCUUUUAUUGACAACAUUGGUCCCAGAGGCAAAGUUGUUCAGAAUGAGGACAUCUAUCAUAUGAUAUGAAGAUCUAGUGUUUGUGUGAAUAUAUGAGCAUUUUCAACCAAUUUGAGGCCAUUUACCAUAUAAAUCUUUUGUUUUUGAGGCCUUUUCUACUGUGAUAGCGCCACCUAUGGUUCGAUUUCCAUGAAACUUUGCAUGCUUGUUCAGAGUCAUCUGACACAUGUUUUUCACCAAGUUUCGUAAAGUUUUGAGUUUUCAUUUAGGUUUUAUAGGCUUUUUGGGGUAUUUUUGGCCACGCCCCUUUUCUAAAUUAAGCUGUUAUAGCUAACCAAAGUACAAAAUUAAAUUUUUUUUUUGAUAAUUAUUGAUCUAGAGAGUCCCGAGAAUCGUUCUGUAGUGGUUUGAUCGAGAUUAAGAGAAAAAUCUAGGACUAGUUUGCAAAAGUAAGUUUUUAACUUAUUUGUGAAUAUUUAAUGAACGAUUUAAUUGACAGCAUUAGGCCCAGAGGCAAAGUUGUUCAUAAUGAGGAGAUCUAUUUUAAGAUAUGAAGAUCUAGUGUUUGUGUGAAUAUAUGAACAUGUUCUACAAUUUGAGGUCAUUUUCUGUAGAAAUCUUGUGUUUUUUGAGUUUUCAUUUAGGUUUUAUAGGCUAUUGGGUAUAUUUGGCCACGCCCCUUUUAAAAAUGACCCAGUUAUAGCUAACCAAAGGACAAAAUUCAAUUUUUUUUUGAUAAUUAUUGAUCUAGAGAGUCCAGAGAAUAUUACUGCAGUGGUUUGGUUCCGAUUGGGCGAAAAAAACCUAGGACUAGUUCGCAAAAGUAGGUUUUUAACAUAUUUGUGAAUAAUUAAUGAACGAUUUGACUGACAGCAAUGGUUCUUGAGGCAAAGUUGUGCAUUAUGAGGAGAUCUAUCAAAUGAUAUGCAUAUUGUGUGGAUAUGUGAAACACCACGUGAUUACAGAGCCAAAAAAACUCGUUAGCGCCAACUAGUGGCCGAUUUCUUUCAAAAAUUCUUACAGACCUUUAGGGCCAUGAGUCGAACAUGCCCACCGAGUUUCGUUCCGAUCAACCUCCGUUAACCUUGUCUAAUAGGUGCUUAAAUUUGUUUGGCCAAUGGCGGCCAUGUUUUUUUGAGAUACGCGAAAUGUCCUCAUAGACACUUGUGCCCCUUCAGACAAAGACACUGCAUACCAAUUUUUCAAGUCGAUCGGACCAACGGUUGCCUAGUUAUAGCUAUUUAUGUGUUUUUUUCUGUCUUAUAGCGCCCCCAAGUGGCAGAGGUGCGCAAUUUUUUUAUUUGACCAAAGAUUGAGCUUAUACAAAUGUGUACCAAGUUUGGUGAAGAUAUCUCAUUCCGUUCAAGAGUUAUAGCUAAAAAUAACAUUUGGCUAACGUUAGCAUAGAUGCUUUUUGGCGUACUGUUUUCGCGUAAGAAUCGA
ensembl:lncRNA